rnacentral:lncRNA from 1 species
GGCAAGCGCAGGUCCAGGCGGUGCAGCUUGGGCGGCCCAGCGGAUCGUGCCGCGGCGGCCGAGCGCAGGCAGGAGAUCAUGUCCUCUGAGAUCUUGAGAAGGUGGCUGGAGCCCUUUGGACCUCCGCGGGAGGCAGUGAUAAUUAGCCUCCUCCUCCCAUCAUGUUCUGAGGAUGGGAGAGAGGAUGGUGACGGCACCGGAGGCCUGGGGUGCUCUGCCCGGCUGCGCAUUAUAUCCCCAUUAAAGACUGGCCUACUGAAAAAGGCUGGCCCUGGAAUCAAAGAAGAUCCGGGCUCCUUCCCC